GAUGAACGCUGGCGGCGUGCCUAAUACAUGCAAGUCGAGCGAAGCGGGGACUGGUGAGUAACACGUGGAUAACCUCCUAUACGACUGGGUUAACUUCGGGAAACCGUAGCUAAACCGGAUACUUAUACAUGGAUCCUCGCUGCAUUAGCUAAUGGGUAAGGUAACGGCUUACAAAGGCAACGAUGCAUAGCCGACCGGAGAGGAGAAUCGGCCACACUGGAACUGAGAAACGGUCCAGACUCCUACGGGAGGCAGCAGUAGGGAAUCUUCCGCAAUGGGCGAAAGCCUGACGGAGCAACGCCGCGUGAGUGAUGAAGGUCUUCGGAUCGUAAAACUCUGUUAUUAGGGAAGCGGUACCUAAUCAGAAAGCCACGGCUAACUACGUGCCAGCAGCCGCGGUAAUAC
rnacentral:rRNA from 1 species